rnacentral:rRNA from 1 species
GCAGGUCUGAGUACGGCCUCUAGCGAACAGGCGAAACCGCGAAUGGCUCAUUAAAUCAGUUAUGGUUCCUUAGAGCUUACGUUGUCUUACUUGGAUAACCGUGGUAAUUCUAGAGCUAAUACAUGCAAUUAUGCUCCGACCCCCUGUCGGGGGAACGAGCGCUUUUAUUAGACCGCAACGACCGCAUCCGGCGCGGCUUUCUCCGGGUCCCUCGGGGCUUUGGGGUGCCGCGGACGCGUCUGCGUGGUGACUCUGGAUAACUCUGCCGAUCGGCCGGCGAUCCCCGAGAGGGGGUGCCAGUCCGGCCGACGCACCUUUCAAGUGUCUGCCUUAUCAACUGUCGACGGUAGGUUAAAUGCUUACCGUGGUAGUAACGGGUGACGGGGAAUCAGGGUUCGAUUCCGGAGAGGAAGCCUGAGAAACGGCUACCACAUCCAAGGAAGGCAGCAGGCUCGCAAAUUACCCACUCCCGGCACGGGGAGGUAGUGACGAAAAAUAACGAUGCGGGACUCGGUCGAGACCCCGCCAUCGGAAUGAGUACACUCUAAAUCCUUUAACGAGGAUCCACCGGAGGGCAAGUCUGGUGCCAGCAGCUGCGGUAAUUCCAGCUCCGGUAGCAUAUGCUAAAGUUGCUGCGGUUAAAAAGCUCGUAGUUGGACUUCAGUCUCGGCCGCUCGGUCUCGCCCGUGUUGGCGGGUCUCGACGCGGCCGGUCAGAAGGUCGGCCGCCCGGGAUCAUCUUAACCGGUUGUCUCGGAACGGCCGGCGAGUUUACUUUGAAAAAAUCAGAGUGCUCAAAGCGGGCGUUAUCCGCCCGAAUGGUAGUGCAUGGAAUAAUGGAACAAGACCUCGGUUCAAGUCAGAUGGUCCACGAACCCUGAGGUAAUGAUUAAGAGGAACGGCCGGGGGCGAUCGUACCGCGACGCUAGAGGUGAAAUUCUUGGACCGUCGCGUGACGCACCACAGCGAAAGCAUUCGUCAAGAACGCUUCCGUUAAUCAAGAACGAAAGUCAGAGGUUCGAAGGCGAUCAGAUACCGCCCUAGUUCUGACCAUAAACGAUGCCGACCAGCGAUCGGGCUGCGCUCGCCACGACGAGGCGCCCGGAAGCUUUCCGGGAAACCAGAGUGUCUGGGUUCCGGGGGAAGUAUGGUUGCAAAGCUGAAACUUAAAGGAAUUGACGGAAGGGCACCACCAGGAAUGGAGCCUGCGGCUUAAUUUGACUCAACACGGGAAAACUCACCCGGCCCGGACACGGGAAGGAUUGACAGACUGAUUGCUCUUUCUUGAUUCUGUGGGUGGUGGUGCAUGGCCGUUCUUAGUUGGUGGAGCGAUUUGUCUGGUUGAUUCCGAUAACGAACGAGACUCUAGCCUGCUAAAUAGCGAGGUUUUCGCACGCGGGGUUUCCGCGUCUGAGGUUCGUCCCGCGGGGUUGUCGGUGUUUCGGCGUGUCGUUUGCGGUCUCUCUCUCUCUCCGGACUUGGCGGGGAACUUCGUAAACCUCCGAUAUCUCUUCUUAGAGGGACAAGCGACGCAUUAAAGUCGCGCGAGGAAGAGCGAUAACAGGUCUGUGAUGCCCUUAGAUGUCCGGGGCCGCACGCGCGCUACACUGACGCUCACAGCGUGCGCGCUCGCCCGGUCCGACAGGACCGGGGAACCCCCUGAACGGACGUCGUGAUGGGGACAGGGGAUUGGAAUUGUUCCCCUCGAACGAGGAAUUCCCAGUAAUCGCGAGUCACUAGCUCGCGUUGAUUACGUCCCUGCCCUUUGUACACACCGCCCGUCGCUACUAUCGAUUGAACGGUUCGGUGAGGUCCUCGGACUGGCUUACGCUGGAGGGACCCUGUCUCCGUUCGCCUUAACGGGCGGCGGAGUUAUUCCCGAUGCGGUAGCCGGAAAGUCGAUCGAACCGUAUCGUUUAGAGAAAGUAAAAGUCGUAACAAGGUUUCC